rnacentral:rRNA from 1 species
CACGUAGGCGGAUCAUUAAGUCGGGGGUGAAAUCCUGGAGCUCAACUCCAGAACUGCCUUCGAUACUGAAGAUCUCGAGUCCGGGAGAGGUGAGUGGAACUCCGAGUGUAGAGGUGAAAUUCGUAGAUAUUCGGAAGAACACCAGUGGCGAAGGCGGCUCACUGGCCCGGUACUAACGCUGAGGUGCGAAAGCGUGGGAGCAAACA